rnacentral:rRNA from 1 species
GAUGAACGCUGGCGGCGUGCCUAAUACAUGCAAGUCGAGCGAACAGAUGAGGAGCUUGCUCCUCUGACGUUAGCGGCGGACGGGUGAGUAACACGUGGAUAACCUACCUAUAAGACUGGGAUAACUUCGGGAAACCGGAGCUAAUACCGGAUAAUAUAUUGAACCGCAUGGUUCAAUAGUGAAAGACGGUUUUACUGUCACUUAUAGAUGGAUCCGCGCCGCAUUAGCUAGUUGGUAAGGUAACGGCUUACCAAGGCAACGAUGCGUAGCCGACCUGAGAGGGUGAUCGGCCACACUGGAACUGAGACACGGUCCAGACUCCUACGGGAGGCAGCAGUAGGGAAUCUUCCGCAAUGGGCGAAAGCCUGACGGAGCAACGCCGCGUGAGUGAUGAAGGUCUUCGGAUCGUAAAACUCUGUUAUUAGGGAAGAACAAAUGUGUAAGUAACUAUGCACGUCUUGACGGUACCUAAUCAGAAAGCCACGGCUAACUACGUG